CGGCUAAAGUCUGGGAAAAAAACCGACGACAUGUUUUUCGUUCGGCUAACUGUGGGACUAUAGCCGACGAAAAAAAAAUUUCGUCGGCUAAAGUCAUCACAGACGACCUUUUCCCGACGACACUAUAGCCGACGAGCCUUCGUCGGCUAAGAUCUUAGCCGACGAAUUAAGAUAACAGGCCGACGAAAAUUUUUCGUCGGCUAAAGUGCUUGUCCUGGUAGUG
rnacentral:lncRNA from 1 species